GACGAACGCUGGCGGCGUGCUUAACACAUGCAAGUCGAGCGGAAAGGCCUUUCGGGGUACUCGAGCGGCGAACGGGUGAGUAACACGUGAGUAAUCUGCCCUUGGCUUUGGGAUAAGCCCCGGAAACGGGGUCUAAUACCGGAUAUGACCAAUCUCUGCAUGGAGUGUUGGUGGAAAGUUUUUUCGGCCAGGGAUGUGCUCGCGGCCUAUCAGCUUGUUGGUGGGGUAAUGGCCUACCAAGGCUUCGACGGGUAGCCGGCCUGAGAGGGUGACCGGCCACACUGGGACUGAGACACGGCCCAGACUCCUACGGGAGGCAGCAGUGGGGAAUAUUGGACAAUGGGCGGAAGCCUGAUCCAGCAACGCCGCGUGAGGGAUGACGGCCUUCGGGUUGUAAACCUCUUUCAGUACCGACGAAGCGCCGAUGAUGGUGGUGACGGUAGGUACAGAAGAAGCACCGGCCAACUACGUGCCAGCCGCCGCAGUAAUAC
rnacentral:rRNA from 1 species